ensembl:lncRNA
AUUUACAGUCCAGUGAGUUGUAUUUAAUCCUUGGAAAAAUUAAACAGUUGUUUUUUUAACACAUUAGAAAAAUGUGUUCAUUUCUUAAAUUAAAUAUUUUUUAAAGGAACUAAUUAGCCCAUUUUUUUCACCAGCAAUUGUAUAUAACAAGAGAAACAACAAUAACAAACACCUUAGUCUGAAAAAAAUAGUUUUAAUCUCCAAAUUGAGGAAUGUGUCAAGAUUAAGACCUUUAAGCCCAAUCUAUACAUUCAAGAAUGACAAGGAAUUUGAAUUGGAUUUUAGUAUUUGACCAAUUUCUUUUUCUCCAGAACAACAGCAUGAGUUCAAAAAGAACAAGGAGUACCAAACCAAUCUUCUGUCAUUAAUAAAAUUAUAAGAUGAGCAUAAAAGGGAAUAUGACAGACAUAACGAAUCCAAAUGGUAAAGUGAUUGGCAGUAUUUUUUCUUGUUUUUGAAAGUUCUUAUUUUCCAAUGGAGAAACAAGCCACAGGAUAGUACAGCUAAAAUUAUUAAUUGAUCAGAACUAAACAGUGUUUGAUCAAUGGAGUAACUGUAGGGGGGUUUCCAAGGGAAUGCUAUGAGGCUCUAUCCUACUUAAAAUGAUGUAUCAGUGAUUUUGAUCCUUACUGAUUUUAAAAUCGUAUCAACCUGGGAGAGAUUGGUUAAUGAAAUCAUGACUUAAAAGAUCAUAACAGACUAAUAAUUUAUCUCAAAAGCAACAAUACGAUUUUUUAAUAAAAAUGUAAAGUCCUACAUUUAGGUUAGAAAAAAAAAAUUACACAAGUACAGAAGGAGGAAGACCUGGUUUAACUGCUUCGCAUCCAAAAGUGAUGAGGUGUUUCGCUUGACCACACAGUGCAAUAUCAUGUCACCACGAUGGAUGAUAAUAUAGGAUACUUCCUGACGUGGGGGAAAAUAACAUGUAACAUUUUCGUAAGUGGAUCAAACCAGUUUAUAAAAUUAUAAGACACAUACAUAAACAUAGUUAUUAAUAGGAAGAAGAUCCAAAAGGUAGCAAGCAGUAACUCUCAGUGGUGAUAAUACAGGUCACCUUCUUCUUUCUGUUUCACACAUUUGCUGCAGUCACUUUGUAUAAUAAGUAUUUACUGAAAAUACUUUGUAUAAUAAAAAUUUUAUUUUGGCUCAAUACAGAUAAAAAGUGUAAGGUGGCUAAUAAAAAAAGAAACAACACAAAUGCAGUUUUAGGCUGCAUUCAGAGAAUUAUAUUUUCUGGAAACGAGACAUUGAUCAGUUCACCAUGCUCUGUACUGGGACGGCCAUAUUGUGUCAUAAUAUCUCCACUUGCUGCACUCCCAGAAUUUAUCACAAUGUGUAAAAUGCCUUUAUUUGCUCUUCCAUUGACUUCUGCUCCACUAGCCAGUAUGUUUGUGAGGCCAGAGACGCUGACCUUCCUUAUUACUGCGUCACCAGCACCUCAUCCAGUACCUGAAACAAUGAAGACGUUCAAAUAACAUUCAUUAAAUAGGUGAAUAACAGAGGCUUUACUAUAC